rnacentral:lncRNA from 1 species
AUAUACUAACAAACUGACUCAAUGAAUGAUACUUCUGUGACCUCAAGAAAUCUACUGAGUUUCUUUGUUAUCUCAGGUAUCUCAUUUAAAAAGAGAUGGGGAUUUGCCUAGGUGAUCUCUGUAGCCCCUACUUAGCAUAGGAGACAGAACACUGGAUUUGGAGAAAAAAAGAAGCAGAUUGAGAUGCAAUGCAACCACUUGAUAACUGUGAUUCUGGUCUUCUCUUGGGUCUUCUGUUUGGAAACACACCCUGGGAGUGCUGAAGGCUUACAGAGCUCUGAGAAUGAACAUGCAACCAGAAAACUCAAGUUAAAAAAAAUAAAUAAGGAAGUGAAAAGAUUUUCUUUGAUCAGGAUUGAGGCUCUACCAGUUCUUUCCCUGAGAACAGCAGAUGGUGUUAUUAUUGAUAUAGAAAAGUCUCUGAAAAAUAAUCAAAAGCAAUGAGAAAGGCUUUGGAGAAAUUAGUGGCUUUCCAUCUGUCUACCAAGUUUCUGGCCCUUUGGGAGAUACCAGCUUGAGUGAGAGAGAUCCUGCUUGAACUGGCUACUGGCAACUGGACAGAAGACCAAAGAACCACUUCUCUACUGGACCUGCUUGAGACAUUUUCUUCUGAAGAUCUUGGCUCAUAUACUGGACUCUAUUUGUGAGAUUGUGUUUGGGGAAACAAUGUAUUCAGCUUAGGUUAAUUAUUUAGAUAGGUUUAUAGGAAUUAGGUUUGGGGAUUAAUUAUAAUAACCUUUCUUUACCCUUUUACCCUCCUUUCCUCUCAACCUUCCCAAAAUAAACCUAAAUUAUUUAUAUGUUUCCUUCUUGUU